AUCGUUCAUCUCUCUAGCAACUUACCUCUGUACUUACCUCUGUAUAGUUAGGCAUCUGGAGAGACGGAAGUAGGGGUUUCCCCGAAGGAACGCGCC
rnacentral:ncRNA from 18 species